rnacentral:pre_miRNA from 1 species
AUAAUACUCCCUCCGUCCAGAAUUACUUGUCAUCAAAAUGGAUGUGUCUAGAACUAAAAUACAUCUAGAUACAUCCAUUUCAAUGAUAAGUAUUUUCGGACGGAGGGAGUAGUAG